CAGUGAAGUAAGAACUCCAGGAGAGCUACAAUCGCUACUUAAAAAGCCUGUCCAGAUCAGUACAGUGAAUGCAGGAACUGAACUGAAGACUCCAAUCAGCAAAAGAACAUCUGCCAAGGAGCCAGAACAGAGAAACAAAGAGCAUUUGAGACUCAACAGAGGUAAG